rnacentral:rRNA from 1 species
UACAGAGGGUGCGAGCGUUAAUCGGAAUUACUGGGCGUAAAGCGCGCGUAGGCGGCUUUGCAAGUCGGGUGUGAAAUCCCCAGGCUUAACCUGGGAAUUGCGCUUGAAACUAGCGGGCUUGAGUGUGGCAGAGGGGGGUGGAAUUCCACGUGUAGCAGUGAAAUGCGUAGAGAUGUGGAGGAACACCGAUGGCGAAGGCAGCCCCCUGGGUCAACACUGACGCUCAUGCACGAAAGCGUGGGGAGCAAACAGG